UGAGUCGGCCGGAUGGCCGCUGUGUCGCAAGGCGACACGGAGGAAAGUCCGGGCUCCACAGGGCAGGGUGCCAGGUAACGCCUGGGGGGCGUGAGCCCACGGAAAGUGCCACAGAAAACAGACCGCCGAUGGCCGCCGCUAGGCGGCACAGGUAAGGGUGAAAAGGUGCGGUAAGAGCGCACCGCGCGACCGGCAACGGUUCGCGGCACGGUAAACCCCACCCGGAGCAAGGCCAAAUAGGGGAGCGAUGGCGUGGCCCGCGCCGCUCCCGGGUAGGCCGCUAGAGGCGUGCGGAGACGCACGUCCCAGAGGAAUGGCCAUCCUCGACAGAACCCGGCUUACAGGCCGACUCACCCU
rnacentral:RNase_P_RNA from 14 species